rnacentral:rRNA from 1 species
UACAGAGGUCCCGAGCGUUGUUCGGAUUCACUGGGCGUAAAGGGUGCGUAGGUGGUGAGGAAAGUCGGAUGUGAAAUCUCCGGGCUUAACCCGGAAACUGCAUUGGAAACUACCUUGCUAGAGGUUUUGAGGGGGGACUGGAAUUCUCGGUGUAGCAGUGAAAUGCGUAGAUAUCGGGAGGAAUACCAGUGGCGAAGGCGGCUUUCUGGGCCUGUUCUGACGCUGAGGAGCGAAAGCGUGGGGAGCAAACCGG